CUUCAUUGUUAUAAUGCGGACAGCAGUAAAGGACCCUCGGAUCUCUUGGCAAGCCUGAAUUCUUAGGCUAGGAGCUAGUGUUUCUGUGCCUAAAAAUAUAUUGGCAUGUUGUCUUUCAUGGUCAUGGAUUGGGUCCCAGAAACUGCCUGAGCUUCAUCAGAGGCAUGACAUGAGAUGAACAGGCUGCUUUUAAUACUUGAAUGACAUGUUAAAG